GAUUGACAUUUUUCACAUACACUAUUAAAGAGCGUGAAAUGUGUGUAAUUGUAUUGUCUCUGUUCACAGCAUUCGAGCUAGGAAACUAACAGCUGCUGUGCAUUGCAAGUCUACUGGAGGUGGUGUUUCUCUUGUGCAGGGAUGAUGAUUAGUUGAAUACAGGAUUCACCCUGAUGGACCCUAAUGGAAAUAUAUUCCUUAGUUCAAACUGAGCUCCUCCUCUUCACAAUGGUCAGGUCUGUUGCACAGGCUGUGCUGCUGAACAGUGUGUUUGUUUUGAAACUGAUACCCAACAAGUUCAUUUAACCUGGACUUGACUUGUUUGUACAGUGUAGGAGUUCAGGAAAUUAUGACAUGGUGUGCUAAAUUAUUAUUAAUCAGUACAAUGCACAAACACACAGUAUAUGAACUGCAGCAUGCGGUUGCUGAAAGCCUUAGCGCUGUGUGUUUGAGAGUUUUUUCUAGAUCUGUGUCUAAAAUCCACUAUAGACACUAAAGAAAGGAAUGCUUUGGCUUCAUUGGCAGGGCUGAGUAUCGAAGGUUGCGGCGCACAGAAACUCACUCUAACAGGAAUUGAUAAGUGUACUAUCAUGAAUGCCUUCCAUCCAGAGUAUGUAAAAAUGUAGGUGUGGCAAACAAGUGGUUCUGUAUAUUCACCUGUAUCUUCAUCUAUUCAAAAUGCUCAAUCAGAGAAGGUAAAACUCAACUUCGAUCAGAUAAAUAAAAAGUUUGCAGAAUAUUCCUCUAGCCUGCAUAAAUCAGAUCUACUUAUCAAGACUCGAUAUGAAUCUAAAUCUAAACUGCAGUAAGACUUAAAUCACAGCCACAUAGAUAAACCAAUGAGAUAAACCAGUGAGGCAGGUAAACCAGUUAGAUAGAUAAACCAGUGAGACAGGUAAACCAGUGAGAUAGGUAAACCAGUAAGACAGGUAAACUAGUGAGACACGUAAACCAGUGAGAUAGAUAAACCAGUGAAGCAGGUAAACCAGUGAGACAGGUAAACCAGUGAGAUAGACAAAACAGUGAGACAGAUAAACCAGUGAGAUAUCUGAACUGGCCGGAGAGGAGCUGGCCGUUUUUUUUUAGCUGUGCUCCGGAGCAGAGCUGGAUUCAAGCUCACCAGAGUGCUCCGGAGCCCGAAGCCAGAGCUGAGGUCCUGGAUCUGCUCCACUCUCUCCUACCUUAUAUUAAACACUCUGAUAUAGUAAGUCCAGUUUGCUUGAAUUAACAGAAUAUGUAACUUCAUAGGUAUUGUUAUGUGUUGGGGGUGAUGAAAUAAAAGCAUUUCUCACACCAGCUAUUAGUAAAUAACACAUUAUUUUUAUUUAUUUGACUCCUGUAAGACCUUCCCUUUCUUAGUUCCACAGCUGAUUCUAUCAUUACAGUGCACAUCUCUUGUAAAACACUUGCAGAAGAAAGCAAUUCUAUUUUCACACUACACUCUUCUAAGUAUUUUCAAAUUAUGUCAUUUUAACCAAACCCUUGCUCUGCCUAAAUUCACCUCAUUUUACAGCAAUCUGUUUUCAGAAAUUAUGUCCUGACUUUUGAUUGUCCAAAAGUUGGUUGCCAGGGAGUUAAGAUCACCUGCUAGAGUCAUGGGGCCCCCUGCACUGAAUUGCUUCAGAAGAUAAGGCCUCUUUCUGACCAACUCCCAAAUCACUCACUCCAGCACAGUUUCACUACUUGUUUACUUAAAAUGAGAAACUUGUUUUUCCACUUUUGAGUGACAAUCCCAUUAGCCCAACCCCCAAAUGCUUCAGUUUAACAUAUUGCAUCAAUACCACUUCAGUGUUCUCCAUAUCAACAUGGCACAGGAAGAGCAAACUGAGGAAUGUUAUAAAGAUGUUGUUUUCAACAUUUACAGCAGGGCAAAACACAAUAUAAGCUGUGCCAUGAGAAUCUGAGUGAGAAGUCUUUCAAUCAGAAAAGGCACCUGGAAAGACAUCUCUCAAAUAUUCACAAAAAAAAAAAUACUUCAGGAGCAAGACAAAAAGAAGAAACAGCAACCUCAGCUAAAAGAUUUUUUUUAAAAUGCCAUCUGGGAGUUUGAAAAUGUCAUCAGAAAAAAAAUGAGAUGUUGACAAAGCUAUACUGGAGUGGAUUGCUCUUGAUCUGUAGAAACACCUUCAUUUAGUGUGAAACAGCUUUUUAGAAAUCAGCCAUCUCUAUGACCAAGACCAGAGACACAGCUGGAAACAAAGUGGAGACAGACUGAGGACUGCAGGCAGGAGACAAAGAGUGUCAACAUCACAUUUACUACUCGUGGCAUUAAGACCAGCUUGGAUCAUUUUUGGAAGUCUCCUGCCUCGUCCUACUGCCAGGUAGGGGAUCUUCAAUCCAGAUUCACUGGAGAUGUUGAAACAGAAGCGACAGAACAUGCAGGAUGAGAAGUGCUACACAGUGCCAGUUGAGACAAUGUAUUGCAGUGGACUGAAGGAGUGCUCCUGGGACACUUGCGAGCCCCUCCCACAGUCCUGGGCAGCUGCUGGGAGGAAUCCAGGGAGGGAGACAAAGCGUCCCUCAGACACUGUGGAGUCUCUACCAUCCAGGGUCUUUCUGUGCACUCCACUUUAUCAGAGAGAACGCUCCCUUUCUGAACUAGUUUAAAAAGUUCAUGAGGACGGAUGCCCCCAUCACACUUAUCUGGUUGUUCUGCUGAGUAUAAAAAAGCAGCCUCCUCCUUUUUCAUUUUCUUGACUGUUUCUAAAUGUAUCACUAUUGAGUGUUUAAUAGGUAGGGUGAUCUUUUUAGCAUGGAACAUUGACCUUCUCAUGAUCUCUGCACCUGCUCUAGUUCAUGGAACAUUGACCUUCUCGUCAUCUCUGCACCUGGACUGCUUCAUGAAGCAUUAAGCUUCUCAUUAUCUCUGCACCUGGACUCUGGAUUAGUUCAAGACAAAACAAGCUUGUAAAAUAACACAAAAAAAUACUUUGAAUAAAAACCCAUUCAUUCAUUUAAAGUUGUGCACAGUUUUUCAGAUCUCCAUAUGAAGCAUGCAAUAGGAUUUUCAACACUAACAGUAUUGGGGAGAUUCCUAAUAAAGUGUCCAUUUCCUAUAUUGUGUAUUGUGAUUAACUUUUAGGUCUUGGUUUUGUCUUCCAAUUCUCCUCUUGGCAAUGCACAGCUUUGGCUUUCUGGUUUGAGAACAGGACCUUGAUGGAUUCUCCAGUGACUCAGCAGGAACUCAAUUUGUCCUGAAGAGCAGCUCAGACCUGCUGCAGCCCCCAGUGGAAAGCCGGUCACUGCCAUAUUAUGACAACCCUGCCAGGAGGAAGGACAAGACAGACUCACAGGCAGCUUGAGUGCGCAUAGACAAUAUGUAAGGCCGUCACUGGCUGGGUUUGUUUCAGGGUGGGAAAGGCUGUAAUAGGGAUUUAUAAACUGAGACGCACCACUGUCUGGUUUUCUGUCAGACAAAUAUCAAUUCAUAAUUGAAGCAUUUGUUCAACUUCCUGACCCGUAGUACUGACUUUUACAGCAGGUUGUAAGGAUUAGCAAAUAGUCAAACUACAGGCCCCUGAAGAUUGCCAGACAAUGAGGGUCUGGAAAAUUCCAUUCACUAGAUCAGGAUUUAAUCAAAAUUUGAAUGGUUUAACAUUGAUCCAGAUUAGAUCUGUAGAUUUAGGAGUACUCUCUCUGGGGGAGGUAUGUGCCUGUCUUGUCCUCUCUUCAGAGAGACUUCCAUCUGCAAUAAAGGUUCUGGACUGAUAACUAUUAUGUGUAUGCAUUUCAUUCCGAUCACAUAGGUCUACUUUAUUAGGUAUUUGUGACAAAAAUAUGAGUUCUGGUGAUAAAUCUUCCUCCCGACCUGUGAGGGCGCUAAAGAACGAGAGGAGAAGUAUCUG